rnacentral:rRNA from 1 species
CGGACGGGUGAGUAACGCGUAGGUAUCUAUCCACGGGUGGGGGAUAACAGCGGGAAACUGCUGCUAAUACCGCAUGAUGCCUGAGGGCCAAAGGCGCAAGUCGCCUGUGGAGGAGCCUGCGUACGAUUAGCUUGUUGGUGGGGUAACUGCCUACCAAGGCGACGAUCGUUAGCUGGUCUGAGAGGAUGGUCAGCCACAUUGGGACUGAGACACGGCCCAA